CUACUCCAACUGUCUGAUCCACACUGUGAGGAACUCAGUGUAAAGCGAUGAAGCCUCUACAGUUAAUGGUCGGGAUCCUGCUGGUGACCGCGCAAGUCACCGUUCAACUGGCAGGGGGGUCUGACAAUCCGAGUGAUGUGGAGAACUAUGAUGCCCCGAAGAUGGUGAAACGAGAGCGUGAUCGGCGGCAGAAUCGUCCACCACGAGGAAUGGAUUUUGCAGAGGGAACUAAUCAAUGAUUCAGAUGUAAAUUCUAUGAAGUCCAAGCUUGCUGCAUUAACCAUAAAUUGUCGACAGGA